rnacentral:rRNA from 1 species
UACGAGUGCCCCAAGCGUUAUCCGGAAUCAUUGGGCGUAAAGGGUGUGUAGGCGGUUGUGUUAGUCUUCUGUUAAAUUCUUCGGCUUAACCGGGGGCAUGCAGGGGAAACGGCACAACUAGAGGAUGCGAGAGGUGAAUGGAACUCAUGGAGUAGGGGUGAAAUCCGUUGAUAUCAUGGGGAACACCAAAAGCGAAGGCAAUUCACUGGCGCACUCCUGACGCUGAGACACGAAAGCGUAGGUAGCGAAUGGG